CAGUCGCCACGGUAAUACGUAGGGUGCGAGCGUUAAUCGGAAUUACUGGGCGUAAAGCGUGCGCAGGCGGUUGUGUAAGACAGGUGUGAAAUCCCCGGGCUUAACCUGGGAACUGCGCUUGUGACUGCACAGCUAGAGUGUGGCAGAGGGGGGUGGAAUUCCACGUGUAGCAGUGAAAUGCGUAGAGAUGUGGAGGAACACCGAUGGCGAAGGCAGCCCCCUGGGCCAAUACUGUCGCUCAUGCACGAAAGCGUGGGGAGCAAACAGGAUUAGAUACCCGGGUAGUCCCUGUCUCUUAUAC
rnacentral:rRNA from 1 species